UGAUGAAAAACGAGCAGUAAAACCUCUACAGGCUUGUAGCUCAGGUGGUUAGAGCGCACCCCUGAUAAGGGUGAGGUCGGUGGUUCAAGUCCACUCAGGCCUACCAGAUUUUCCCUGAAUACUGCGUUGUGAAAUAACUCACAUACUGAUGUAUGCUUCGUUAUUCCACGCCUUGUCUCAGGAAAAAUUAUCGGUAAAGAGGUUCUGACUACACGAUGGGGCUAUAGCUCAGCUGGGAGAGCGCCUGCUUUGCACGCAGGAGGUCUGCGGUUCGAUCCCGCAUAGCUCCACCAUCUCGUGAGUGUUUACGAAAAAAUACUUCAGAGUGUACCUGAAAGGGUUCACUGCGAAGUUUUGCUCUUUAAAAAUCUGGAUCAAGCUGAAAAUUGAAACACAGAACAACGAAAGUUGUUCGUGAGUCUCUCAAAUUUGAGGGAAAGGCGAAAAGAACCCCGGCGAGGGGAGUGAAAAAGAACCUGAAACCGUGUACGUACAAGCAGUGGGAGCCCCACCACUAAGCCAGUGGUGAACUCCACAUACGCAUCCUUUGCUGAGGAUACGGUUAACGGAGCGAAAGCGACGUUCAACCUCAAAAGAAGCAGAGGGGGCUUAGUGGUGGGGUGACUGCGUACCUUUUGUAUAAUGGGUCAGCGACUUAUAUUCUGUAGCAAGGUUAACCGAAUAGGGGAGCCGGAGGNGUGACUGCGUACCUUUUGUAUAAUGGGUCAGCGACUUAUAUUCUGUAGCAAGGUUAACCGAAUAGGGGAGCCGGAGGGAAACCGAGUCUUAAUUGGGCGUUAAGUUGCAGGGUAUAGACCCGAAACCCGGUGAUCUAGCCAUGGGCAGGUUGAAGGUUGGGUAACACUAACUGGAGGACCGAACCGACUAAUGUUGAAAAAUUAGCGGAUGACCUGUGGCUGGGGGUGAAAGGCCAAUCAAACCGGGAGAUAGCUGGUUCUCCCCGAAAGCUAUUUAGGUAGCGCCUCGUGAAUUCAUCUCCGGGGGUAGAGCACUGUUUCGGCUAGGGGGCCAUCCCGGCUUACCAACCCGAUGCAAACUGCGAAUACCGGAGAAUGUUAUCACGGGAGACACACGGCGGGUGCUAACGUCCGUCGUGAAGAGGGAAACAACCCAGACCGCCAGCUAAGGUCCCAAAGUCAUGGUUAAGUGGGAAACGAUGUGGGAAGGCCCAGACAGCCAGGAUGUUGGCUUAGAAGCAGCCAUCAUUUAAAGAAAGCGUAAUAGCUCACUGGUCGAGUCGGCCUGCGCGGAAGAUGUAACGGGGCUAAACCAUGCACCGAAGCUGCGGCAGCGAGUAAUAGCUCACUGGUCGAGUCGGCCUGCGCGGAAGAUGUAACGGGGCUAAACCAUGCACCGAAGCUGCGGCAGCGAACGUAUCACCCAAGACAACUUUACGGAGUUGACGAUUGACGGAGCGAAGCGACGUCAAAGCGUUCAUUAAAGUCGAGUUGGCUUAGGGAUACGUUCGUUGGGUAGGGGAGCGUUCUGUAAGCCUGUGAAGGUGGCCUGUGAGGGUUGCUGGAGGUAUCAGAAGUGCGAAUGCUGACAUAAGUAACGAUAAAGCGGGUGAAAAGCCCGCUCGCCGGAAGACCAAGGGUUCCUGUCCAACGUUAAUCGGGGCAGGGUGAGUCGACCCCUAAGGCGAGGCCGAAAGGCGUAGUCGAUGGGAAACGGGUUAAUAUUCCCGUACUUGGUGUUACUGCGAAGGGGGGACGGAGAAGGCUAUGUUGGCCGGGCGACGGUUGUCCCGGUUUAAGCGUGUAGGUGUGUGUUCCAGGUAAAUCCGGUUCACUUUAACACUGAGGCGUGACGACGAGGCACUACGGUGCUGAAGCAACAAAUGCCCUGCUUCCAGGAAAAGCCUCUAAGCAUCAGGUAACAUCAAAUCGUACCCCAAACCGACACAGGUGGUCAGGUAGAGAAUACCAAGGCGCUUGAGAGAACUCGGGUGAAGGAACUAGGCAAAAUGGUGCCGUAACUUCGGGAGAAGGCACGCUGACAUGUAGGUGAAGUGAUUUACUCAUGGAGCUGAAGUCAGUCGAAGAUACCAGCUGGCUGCAACUGUUUAUUAAAAACACAGCACUGUGCAAACACGAAAGUGGACGUAUACGGUGUGACGCCUGCCCGGUGCCGGAAGGUUAAUUGAUGGGGUCAGCGCAAGCGAAGCUCCUGAUCGAAGCCCCGGUAAACGGCGGCCGUAACUAUAACGGUCCUAAGGUAGCGAAAUUCCUUGUCGGGUAAGUUCCGACCUGCACGAAUGGCGUAAUGAUGGCCAGGCUGUCUCCACCCGAGACUCAGUGAAAUUGAACUCGCUGUGAAGAUGCAGUGUACCCGCGGCAAGACGGAAAGACCCCGUGAACCUUUACUAUAGCUUGACACUGAACAUUGAGCCUUGAUGUGUAGGAUAGGUGGGAGGCUUUGAAGUGUGGACGCCAGUCUGCAUGGAGCCGACCUUGAAAUACCACCCUUUAAUGUUUGAUGUUCUAACGUGGACCCGUAAUCCGGGUUGCGGACAGUGUCUGGUGGGUAGUUUGACUGGGGCGGUCUCCUCCUAAAGAGUAACGGAGGAGCACGAAGGUUGGCUAAUCCUGGUCGGACAUCAGGAGGUUAGUGCAAUGGCAUAAGCCAGCUUGACUGCGAGCGUGACGGCGCGAGCAGGUGCGAAAGCAGGUCAUAGUGAUCCGGUGGUUCUGAAUGGAAGGGCCAUCGCUCAACGGAUAAAAGGUACUCCGGGGAUAACAGGCUGAUACCGCCCAAGAGUUCAUAUCGACGGCGGUGUUUGGCACCUCGAUGUCGGCUCAUCACAUCCUGGGGCUGAAGUAGGUCCCAAGGGUAUGGCUGUUCGCCAUUUAAAGUGGUACGCGAGCUGGGUUUAGAACGUCGUGAGACAGUUCGGUCCCUAUCUGCCGUGGGCGCUGGAGAACUGAGGGGGGCUGCUCCUAGUACGAGAGGACCGGAGUGGACGCAUCACUGGUGUUCGGGUUGUCAUGCCAAUGGCACUGCCCGGUAGCUAAAUGCGGAAGAGAUAAGUGCUGAAAGCAUCUAAGCACGAAACUUGCCCCGAGAUGAGUUCUCCCUGAGACUUAGAGUCUCCUGAAGGAACGUUGAAGACGACGACGUUGAUAGGCCGGGUGUGUAAGCGCAGCGAUGCGUUGAGCUAACCGGUACUAAUGAACCGUGAGGCUUAACCUU
rnacentral:rRNA from 1 species